UUAAGUUCAGCGGGUAGCCCUACCUGAUUUGAGGUCAGAGUGCAAAGUAAAGGGGGUCUAUGAGCGGGACCACGGCGACGAGUGCUUACAACGUCCGUGCGGCCAUCCGCUAACACAUUUAAGGCCAGCCGGUGAACGGCAAGGGCCCAAAUCCAACGCACCCCGGGUCAGAAAACCCGAGGGGUUGAGUCUACAUGACA
rnacentral:misc_RNA from 1 species